GUAAUACUAAAACACAAAAGAUGUUUGUAUGAUCAUGUAAUACUAAAACACAAAAGAUGUCUGUAUAAUCAUGUAAUACUAAAACACAAAAGAUGUCUGUAUAAUCAUGUAAUACUAAAACACAAAAGACGUCUGUAUAAUCAUGUAAUACUAAAACACAAAAGAUGUCUGUAUAAUCAUGUAAUACUAAAACACAAGACACGUCUGUAUAAUCAUGUAAUACUAAAACACAAAAGACGUUUGUAUUUUACACUUAUGUUCACAGAAUUUUGAAAAUAUGUACAAAACAAGAGGAUUUAAAAAAUGAUUUGUUACGAAUGAGAUAAGUAGCAGUUGAAAAAGGAUUUAACCCAAAUAUUGUAGAUAGAGCAGUUAAUAAAUUCACUAAUGUUGUGAUAAUAUGUCAGAUUAUUACUUUAAAACCUAGUUAUGAUAAAAUUAAAACAGAAUGUUUAAUUUUGCCAUAUGUUCCAGGUUUAACUACUAGUUUAUAUAAAGUGCUUAAAAAAACAAAUAGUUUACCAUAUAUUUAAACUGAUGAAUUUUAGGUAAUCUAAACAUAAUAUGCAGUUAACAGAAAAUGCUUGAAUUUAUAAAAUUCAACAAUGUGGAAGUAUUGGACAGACAAAACAUAAUUUUGAAUUUACAUAACAUAAGGAAUGUGUAAGAAAUAAAAAGAAUGAAAAUUCAGUCAUAGUAGAGCAUGUACAAAAAUCACAACAUAGAUAUUAUGGGGAAAAAUAGUAUUAUUGGCUCAACCAAUAGGUAUUAGAGCCAAUAACAUUCGUGAAUCUUUGGAAAUAAUAAAGUAGAAAUAGAUUAUAAAUUAUUAGAUAGAGAUGAAGGUCCAGCAGAUAUCUGUGUAAGAAUGUGGCAGAACUUGCAAAAAUGGUUAACUUACAUACGGGUCACAUGACUUGGUUAAAAAAAAAGGUAUAAAUAUUACACUGUUAUAUCUUGUAAUUUCACUCCUGAUAACAAUGUUGAAAUUUUGAAACAUGUAGAAUCUAUUUUUUGAAUUUAAAAUGGUUUUAAUUGUAUAUCUAUUUUAACAUUGUUAUCUAUUAUUUUAGCAUUAUACACAGAAAACAAUACUUGUAAAUUUAUUUAUACUCAAGAUAUGUCUUUGAAUUAAUUACACAAUUCUGAAUCAGGCUCUGACAAAUCAGAGUG